rnacentral:tRNA from 1 species
GCCUUCGUGGUGUAGUGGUCAGCACACUCGGCGCGUAUUCGAGAGGUCCAUGGUUCGAAUCCCGGCGAGGGCA